rnacentral:pre_miRNA from 1 species
GGUGGGGCUGACUCCGCGACCCCGCGUGACGGUUCUUGUCGUGUUACAGAAGGGAAUGGCACUCGCGAUGUCGGUGUC